AUUGAACGCUGGCGGCAGGCCUAACACAUGCAAGUCGAACGAGUGGCGGACGGGUGAGUAAUGUCUGGGAAACUGCCUGAUGGAGGGGGAUAACUACUGGAAACGGUAGCUAAUACCGCAUACCAUCAGAUGUGCCCAGAUGUGAUUAGCUAGUUGGUGGGGUAACGGCUCACAAAGGCGACGAUCCCUAGCGUGUCUGAGAGGAUGACCAGCCACACUGUACCUGGUACACGGUCCAUACUCCUACGUGAGGCGGCGGUGGGGAAUAUUGCACAAUGGGCGCAAGCCUAAUGCAGCCAUGCCGCGUGUAUGAAGGAGGCCUUCGGGUUGUAAAGUACGUGCAGCGGGGAGGCGUUACCCGCAGAAGAAGCACCGGCUAACUCCGUGCCAGCAGCCGCGGUAAUUC
rnacentral:rRNA from 1 species